UACAGAGGGUGCGAGCGUUGUCCGGAAUCACUGGGCUUAAAGGGCGCGUAGGCGGGCUGUCAAGUCUGGGGUGAAAUGCCGCGGCUCAACCGUGGAACUGCCUUAGAUACUGACGGCCUCGAGGAAGGUAGGGGCAUGCGGAACUGUAGGUGGAGCGGUGAAAUGCGUUGAUAUCUACAGGAACCCCGGUGGCGAAAGCGGCGUGCCGGACCUUUUCUGACGCUGAGGCGCGAAAGCUAGGGGAGCAAACGGG
rnacentral:rRNA from 1 species